UACGGAGGGUGCGAGCGUUGUCCGGAAUCACUGGGCGUAAAGGGCGCGUAGGCGGCGCGGAUAGUCGGCGGUGAAAGCCCGGAGCUCAACUCCGGGUCGGCCGUCGAUACUUCCGGGCUUGAGCACUGUAGAGGCAGAUGGAAUUCCGGGUGUAGCGGUGGAAUGCGUAGAGAUCCGGAAGAACACCGGUGGCGAAGGCGGUCUGCGUGGG
rnacentral:rRNA from 1 species